CUUGAUGCCGCCCAGCCACAGCGGCCGGUCCGCGGGCCGGUCCUGCCCGUAGGUGGCCAUCAGCGCCUGCGCCUC
rfam:Streptomyces zinciresistens K42 contig00003, whole genome shotgun sequence.